GUUUAGCACUGAUUGAAAUGACAUCCUUUUAUGAAGAAUGAAGAAAAGAUACAGUGGAAAGCAGGAAAUAGC
rnacentral:sRNA from 1 species